rnacentral:lncRNA from 1 species
UUCUUCCCAUUCGGAUGAAGUCUCUAAAACUAACAAUAAGAGCAGGAGUUUUUACAUACAACCAAUGUGUGACUUAAUAAGGCGUAUGUAUUUCUUCAAGCUUUUAUUGCAUAUAUCUGAUGAGUCCCUUCAGUUGUAAAGGAGACCCCACCAAGACUCUGGGCAUCAAACAACUGUCAUAAAUUUUUACAGUAGAACAAACCCACUGAGUCUAACUACGCCUCUCCAGCUGUAACCGGCAAGGUGUUUUUGUUUCUGAUCAUGAAAUGGGAAGUUAUAAAGAUAUAGAAGGAAUGUGGGUUAUGUUCAUUCUCUUUUGUGUGUCUCCCGCAGUUUCUGUCCCAGGCCAGCAGUGAUGGAUUUGCUUUGUUUCAGAGCCCACAGUCCACUUGCAAAACAUGUUCUGUAUCUGGUUUUGCAGCUGUUCAAAGAAAUAGAAUCAAUAGAGAACAGACAAACCCACAGUUGCCAGUUUGUACAGUCUUGUGGUUUCUGUCAGGGGCUACAGACUCGAGCAGGUCUACCAGAUAAUGAAGGCAAACUAUUUCAGUUCCUGUGGGUCCGGAGUGCCUCAGCAGAGUUCUGGUUUCAAACAAAUGAAUAACAAAUUAAAAGAGUCAUCACUGUUGAGUGGAACAUCGUUUCAGUUGCAUGAAGAUGCCAGACUAGAGGAAAGAGGACACACCAUGUGAUUUCCCAGGGGCCAGCAUUUCCCAAGGGAUGAGUCUGACCGAGGGGACACAAAAACAAACAGUCUAAAACCAACAGAUAUCCUGUCCAAAUUAUCUUUUUAUAGCACAGCAGAGCUGUAUUCAGUACAAAACAAGUAGAGUGAGAACUGAAUGUGAAUUACAAAGCAGAAUUUUAGUCAUGAUAUAGGACUUAAACAUGGGUUAAACUCAUGAUACAUGAGUUAAAGAACUGGAACCCCUUUUUAUAUUUCAUUGCCAACAGUUUUACCAAAUAGGUGGUUUAUUUGGAAAGGCAGCACCUCUGUGAAAUUAACUUUUGACUUAUAAAAGUUCAUAUUGUUCCUACCCUCCUUAGUCCGCUAACAGUGAUUACUUUUUUCUUUUUUGCUACAAACCAUGCAUGUGGAUUUUUGAGAAACAUGCCAUUAAUCAUGAUUAGAGUGUAUAGGCUCAAAAAUCUCUAAGACAUGCAAAAAACAAAACAAAACAAAACCUAAAAAAAAUUCCCCAAAAAAGCUGUGAAAUUAUUUAUUAAUCUGUAAAAACUGGUGUUGGUUUUCUAUAAAACCAGCAAUCAGAAAAUGUCAAAAUUUAUAUUUUUAUCCUUAUGAGAAUCUUUAUAGGUUUACCUAAAAGGAAAGAAUAGAGUCAGUUCCUACUAUUUCAGAUAGAUAUUGCCUUUGACAAGUAUGCAAAUGAUACUGGAAUUGUACACUUGAGCUUUUUAAUUGUGACAACUCUGAGACAUAACUUGGUAAAGCAGAUUGUGCUGCUCCCAUUACCUCUCCAAUCUGUUCUCAGACAGAAUCAUACUCAUGUUUCCAAGGCAGAGAGAGCACCAAGAGGUGAGGUUCUUUCUGUCAGCUCCUGCUAUCGACUGGAUUGUGUUCCGCCCCCACCCCCAAAUUUAUACGUUGAAGCCCUAAUCCUCAGUGCGACUGUAUCCGGAGAUGGGCCUUUAAGGUUAGAUGAGGUCAUAAGAGUGGAGCCCUAAUCCAUUAGAACUGGUUAUGUAACAAGAGGAAGAGACAUCAGAGCUCUUUUCUCUGUGAUGAAAGGACAUUUUGAUAAGUCAGUCACCUGCCAGCCGGGCCAAGAGCGCUCACCAGAAUUCAGCCAUGCUGACAACCUGAUCUUGGACUUGAGGCCUCUGAAACUGUGAGGAAUAAAUUUCUGUUGCUUAAGUCACCUUAGUCUAUGGUAUUUUAUGAUGGCAGCUCAAGCUGACUAAUCUAGCCCCUUAAAUAACCUAACCAAAAAUUAUAAUUAUUAAUUUUUCAGCAAAUAAAGGAGAAAAAAUGUUUUAUUAGAUUUUUUUAUAAGAAAAAAAUUUGAACAAAAGCAUCUUUGAAAAAACUGGUUCUCUUUAUUUGUUGUAACACACAUCCUGAGAAAAUUUGGUGUUCUUGCUAUGCAAACAUGGCUUCAAAAGAAAUACCAUUGCUUCUGCCAAUCAGAUUGUUGCUCCAAAGGGAAUUUUACAACUCAACACCAAAAUAAUAAACAAUCCGAUUAAAACAUGGGCAGAGGACGUGAACAGACGUGUUGCCAAAGAAGACAUACAGAUGUCCAAUAGACACAUGAAAAGAUGUUCACCAUUACUAAUCAUUAGGGAAAUGCAAAUCCAAACCACAGUGAGAUUUCACCUUACACCUGCCAGAAUGGCUAAAAUAAAAAAGACAAGAAAUAAAUGUUGGUGAGGAUGUGGGGAAAAAAAGGAAAUUUCGUGCUCUGUUGGUAGGCCACUGUGGAAAACAGUAUGGAGGUUCCUCAAAAAAAUAAAACUAGAAUUACCAUAUGAUUCAUUAAUUCCACUACUGAGUAUUUACCCAAAGAAAAUGAAAACACUAAUUUGAAAAGAUAAAUGCACCCUUUUAUAUUUUUUUUAGAUUUUAUUAGAGAGAACAUGUGCAUAUGAGCAGAGAGGGGAGCAAAGGGGGAGAGGGAGGAACAAGCAGACUGCCACUGAGUGCAGAGAUGGGUGCAGGGCUCAAUCCCAGGACCCUGAGAUCACGAUCUGAGUGGAAACCAAGAGCCCAUGCUUAAUGGACUGAGCCACCCAGGUGUCCUGCACCCUUUUAUUUAUUGCAACAUUAUUUACAAUAGUCAAGGUAUGGAAGCAACCCAAGUGAUAAGAUGUAUACAUGCAUGCUGGUGCACAGAGAGGAAUAUUACAUAGCCAUAAAGAGGAUGAGCUUUUUGCCAUAUGUGACAACACAGAUGGACCUAGAGGGUCUUCUACUAAGUGAAAAUAAGUCAGACUAAGAAAAACAAAUACCACGUGAUUCCAUUCCUGUGUGGAAUCUUAAAUGACUGAACAAGGCAAAAUCAGACGUAUCAAUACAAGUAACAAACUGAUAGUAGCCAGAGGGGAGAAGCGUGGGGAGAUGGGCAGAAUGGGUAAAGGAGUGGGAGAUACAGGCCUCCAGUUAUGGAAUAAAUAAGUCAUGGGAAUAAAAGGCACAACACAGGGAAUAUGGGCAAUGAUAUUGUAAUAGCAAUGUAAUGGGACAGAUGGUAGCUACACUCGUCGUGAGCCUAGCGUAACAUAUAGAGAAGUUGGAUCACUAUGUUGUGCACCUGAAACUGAUGUAACAUUGUUUGUCAACUAUACUCAUACAAAAAAACUUUUUUUAAUUCCUCUUACUCAGAAAUCCUGGAGCCACCACUGUUCCAACACAAAUGCUGCUGAUGCUCUAACACUUUUCAUAUUCCCUGCUCUAUCUUCCCUCUUCUGCACUACCUGUUAAUUUUUAAAUGUCUAUACCAUUUAUCAUGCUCCACCUUAUAAUUUCCAUGAUGUGUGUAUGGCUGUCCCCCCACUAGAAGACACAGAUCCUAAGAGCAGGAUUCAUGCUGUCUUUUUGGAUUUCCCCAG